AUGAGUGUCAAUGAACUUUUUCGAAAGAAAAUCUGUUCUUAUCAGAUUAAUACCUGAUAUGUCCUCCGUAUGGGUAUAACAUUAAAAAGAUUUUUGGUAACGGGAGCUGAAAAAGGAGCUUUCUCCAUUCACUCCACGCAUCGACCUGGCAUUGGAGAGCUGACAGGAACCGUGCACCCUUC